rnacentral:rRNA from 1 species
AUUGAACGCUGGCGGCAUGUCUUACACAUGCAAGUCGAACGGCAGCACGGGGCAACCUGGUGGCGAGUGGCGAACGGGUGAGUAAUGCAUCGGAACGUACCUUUCAGUGGGGGAUAACGUAGCGAAAGUUACGCUAAUACCGCAUAUUCUGUGAGCAGGAAAGCAGGGGAUCGCAAGACCUUGCGCUGAUUGAGCGGCCGAUGUCAGAUUAGCUAGUUGGUGAGGUAAAGGCUCACCAAGGCGACGAUCUGUAGCGGGUCUGAGAGGAUGAUCCGCCACACUGGAACUGAGACACGGUCCAGACUCCUACGGGAGGCAGCAGUGGGGAAUUUUGGACAAUGGGGGCAACCCUGAUCCAGCCAUGCCGCGUGAGUGAAGAAGGCCUUCGGGUUGUAAAGCUCUUUCUGCCGGGAAGAAAUCGCACGGGCUAAUACCCUGUGUGGAUGACGGUACCGGAAUAAGAAGCACCGGCUAACUACGUGCCAGCCGCCGCCGUAAAAC